rnacentral:pre_miRNA from 1 species
AUUCCCUGCCCACAAUAAGCUCACAUUCUAGAGGGGGGAGACAAACAUUAAUAUAAGCACACAGUGAGUGCUUCAAAGAUACCAAAGAACUUCUGUACAUAUCCAUAAUUUGUUCCCAUUAAUAUCUGUUUACCCCUCUAGACUAUAAGCUUAUUGUGGGCAGGGAUC